rnacentral:rRNA from 1 species
AACGGCCAUACCAUGCUGAAUAUACCGGUUCUUGCUUAGAUCACCGAAGUCAAGCAUCAUUGGGCGCGGUCAGUACUUGGGUGGGGGAGCACCUGGGAACACCGCGUGCCGUU